rnacentral:rRNA from 1 species
CCUACGGUGUGCAGCAGUGGGGAAUAUUUCACAAUGGGGGAAACCCUGAUGCAGCAACGCCGCGUGGGUGAAGGAGCGUUUCGGCGCGUAAAGCCCUGUCAGCGGGGAAGAAGAAAGACGGUACCCGACCAAGAAGCCCCGGCUAACUACGUGCCAGCAGCCGCGGUAAUACGUAGGGGGCGGGCGUUAUCCGGAAUUACUGGGUGGAAAGGGAGCGUAGACGGGGAGGUACGCCUGAAGUGGAAGCCCGCGGACCAGCCGCGGAACUGCUUUGGGAAAUGGUUUGCUGGAGUAUGGGAGGGGUAAGCGGAAUUGCUGGGGUAGCGGUGAAAUGCGGAGAUAUCAGGAGGAACACCGGUGGCGAAGGCGGCUUACUGGACCAUAACUGACGUUGAGGCUCGAAAGCGUGGGGAGCGAACAGGAUUAGAUACCCCAGUAGUC